rnacentral:Y_RNA from 1 species
UCACAGCCAGUUACAGAUUUCUUUGUUCUUUCUCCACUCCCACUGCUUCACUUGACUAGCCUUUU